UCCGGUGUUCAGGAUGCCAGGGAUGAUGGGAAGCCUGUUCUUGUUUAUCGGUUUGUACGGAACUUCACCCGCGGUAGAGUACGGCCUGAGAAUUUUGUUCCAGCACCGGUGAAAACAUCUGAGCCCAUGAAUUGCCAGACCCUGGAUACCUGAGACACAUCCACUUGCUUCUCAGGUUUGGAGUGCAUAAUGAGGAGAAAUAAAAACAGAAAGAUCUCCAGAAAGAAGCCAUGGUAAGAUUCAAGGUUUCACAGUCCAAGCUAAUGCCUGUGGACACUUGACCAAGUGAUCUGAGAAAAUUGGAUUUCUGGCAAAACAAGUGUACCUAGACUCAGGCAAGGGUGGAGAACAGAGGGCGACUAGAUUAAAUGGAAAGAAUGCCCAGGCAUCCCAUUGCCUCCCUUUGACGUUCCAGAACUUCAUCAAGACAGUGAUGAGCUACAUGUACACCUGGAGGAGGACCAUGCAGAAUACCAUCCAGCGCCAUGAACACUAGUCAGUCAGUCAGUAAUGGUGGGCUUCUUGGUGUGCUCCAGCUCAAUUUUCUCAUGUUUGAUGAUUAGUUCAGGAUCAAGCUCAGAAGCGCACAGCUGCCAGCAAGCAGUCUACUACUGAACUGCACCAUCUCUCCAGCCUGUGCUUACUCUUGAAUAGCCCCAAAGUAGUCAAUGGUAUGGCAAAAUAAACCUCCAUUUCAUUUAGAUUUUUAUAGUAUUUUUUGCCACUUAAAUUAUUUUAUGUAGUUGAGUAUGAUUUUUUUUCCCCCUAAGGAAUUCUAUGUAUCUCAAUUUCAAGAGUCUUCAGCCUUUAUGUUAUACAUAAUUUCCUAUAGAUUUCAAAGUUGCUUUAAUAAAAAGUUUAAUGUUAAAA
rnacentral:lncRNA from 1 species